AACGAACGCUGGCGGCAUGCCUAACACAUGCAAGUCGAACGAAGGCUUCGGCCUUAGUGGCGCACGGGUGCGUAACGCGUGGGAAUCUGCCCUUUGGUUCGGAAUAACAGCUGUAAACGUCUGCUAAUACCGGAUGAUGACGAAAGUCCAAAGAUUUAUCGCCAGAGGAUGAGCCCGCGUUGGAUUAGGUAGUUGGUGGUGUAAAGGCCUACCAAGCCGACGAUCCAUAGCUGGUCUGAGAGGAUGAUCAGCCACACUGGGACUGAGACACGGCCCAGACUCCUACGGGAGGCAGCAGUGGGGAAUAUUGGACAAUGGGCGCAAGCCUGAUACAGCAAUGCCGCGUGAGUGAUGAAGGCCCUAGGGUUGUAAAGCUCUUUUACCCGGGAAGAUAAUGACUGUACCGGGAGAAUAAGCCCCGGCUAACUCCGUG
rnacentral:rRNA from 1 species